UCUGGUUGAUCCUGGCGGAGGUUACUGCUAUCGAGGUUCGACUAAGCCAUGCGAGUCGAAUGUAGCAAUACAUGGCGUACUGCUCAGUAACACGUGGACAACCUACCCUUGGGACGGGGAUAAACCCGGGAAACUGGGUAUAAUACCCGAUAGGUCUCGGAUGCUGGAAUGCUUCGAGAUUUAAAACUCCGGUGCCCAAGGAUGGGUCUGCGGCCUAUCAGGUUGUAGUGGGUGUAGCGUACCUACUAGCCUACGACGGGUACGGGUUGUGAGAGCAAGAGCCCGGAGAUGGAUUCUGAGACACGAAUCCAGGCCCUACGGGGUGCAGCAGGCGCGAAAACUUUACAAUGCCGGCAACGGCGAUAAGGGAACCUCGAGUGCCAGGUUACAAAUCUGGCUGUCGUGAUGCCUAAAAAGCAUUGCAUAGCAAGGGCCGGGCAAGACCGGUGCCAGCCGCCGCGGUAACACCGGCGGCUCGAGUGGUAACCGUUAUUAUUGGGUCUAAAGGGUCUGUAGCCGGCCGGAUAAGUCUCUUGGGAAAUCUGGCAGCUUAACUGUCAGGCUUUCAGGAGAUACUGUCUGGCUCGAGGCCGGGAGAGGUGAGAGGUACUUCAGGGGUAGGGGUGAAAUCUUGUAAUCCUUGAAGGACCACCAGUGGCGAAGGCGUCUCACCAGAACGGACCUGACGGCAAGGGACGAAAGCUAGGGGCACGAACCGGAUUAGAUACCCGGGUAGUCCUAGCCGUAAACGAUACUCGCUAGGUGUCGGCCACGGUGCGACCGUGGUCGGUGCCGUAGGGAAGCCGUGAAGCGAGCCACCUGGGAAGUACGGCCGCAAGGCUGAAACUUAAAGGAAUUGGCGGGGGAGCACCACAACGGGUGGAGCUUGCGGUUUAAUUGGAUUCAACGCCGGAAAUCUUACCGGGACCGACAGCAAUAUGAAGGCCAGGCUGAAGACUUUGCCGGAUUAGCUGAGAGGUGGUGCAUGGCCGUCGUCAGUUCGUACUGUGAAGCAUCCUGUUAAGUCAGGCAACGAGCGAGACCCA
rnacentral:rRNA from 1 species